rnacentral:rRNA from 1 species
UAGUAACGGCGAGUGAAGCGGCAACAGCUCAAAUUUGAAAUCUGGCUCCUUCGGGGCCCGAAUUGUAAUUUGUAGAGAGUGCUUCGGGCGAGACCUCGGUCUAAGUCCAUUGGAACAUGGUGUCAUAGAGGGUGAGAAUCCCGUAUGCGACCGUGGCUCGAGCCCAUGUGAAGCCUCUUCGACGAGUCGAGUUGUUUGGGAAUGCAGCUCAAAACGGGUGGUAAAUUUCAUCUAAAGCUAAAUACUGGCUGGAGACCGAUAGCGCACAAGUAGAGUGAUCGAAAGAUGAAAAGCACUUUGGAAAGAGAGUCAAACAGUACGUGAAAUUGUUGAAAGGGAAGCGCUUGCAACCAGACCUGCCCGUAGGCGAUCAGCCGCUGUUCUCAGCGGUGCACUCGCUCUGCGAUCAGGCCAGCAUCGGUUUCGGCGGUCGGAUAAAGGCCUUGGGAAUGUAGCUUCCCUUCGGGGGAGUCUUAUAGCCCUCGGUGCAAUGCGGCCAGCCGGGACCGAGGACCGCGCUUCGGCUAGGAUGCUGGCGUAAUGGUUGUAAGCGACCCGUCUUGAAACACGGACCAAGGAGUCUAACAUCUAUGCGAGUGUUUGGGUGUCAAACCCAUACGCGGAAUGAAAGUGAACGGAGGUGAGAACCCUUAAGGGUGCAUCAUCGACCGAUCCAGAUGUCUUCGGAUGGAUUUGAGUAUGAGCAUAGCUGUUGGGACCCGAAAGAUGGUGAACUAUGCCUGAAUAGGGUGAAGCCAGAGGAAACUCUGGUGGAGGCUCGCAGCGGUUCUGACGUGCAAAUCGAUCGUCAAAUUUGGGUAUAGGGGCGAAAGACUAAUC